rnacentral:rRNA from 1 species
GACGAACCGUGCGAACGUUGUUCGGAAUCACUGGGCUUAAAGGGCGCGUAGGCGGGCAAGCAAGUCCGGGGUGAAAGCCCCCAGCUUAACUGGGGAAGUGCCUUGGAAACUGCUUGUCUCGAGGGAGGUAGGGGCCUGUGGAACUUCGGGUGGAGCGGUGAAAUGCGUUGAUAUCCGAAGGAACGCCGGUGGCGAAAGCGACGGCUGGACCUCUUCUGACGCUGAGGCGCGAAAGCCAGGGAGCAAACGGG